rnacentral:rRNA from 1 species
CCUACGGGAGACAGCAGUGAGGAAUAUUGGUCAAUGGACGCAAGUCUGAACCAGCCAUGCCGCGUGCAGGAAGACGGCUCUAUGAGUUGUAAACUGCUUUUGUACGAGGGUAAACGCAGAUACGUGUAUCUGUCUGAAAGUAUCGUACGAAUAAGGAUCGGCUAACUCCGUGCCAGCAGCCGCGGUAAUACGGAGGAUUCAAGCGUUAUCCGGAUUUAUUGGGGUUAACGGGUGCGUAGGCGGUCGGAUAAGUUAGAUGUGAAAUCCCGAGGCUCAACUUCGCGAUUGCAUCUGAAACUGUUCGGCUAGAGAGUAGUAGCGGUAGGCGGAAUGUAUGGUGUAGCGGUGAAAUGCUUAGAGAUCAUGCAGAACACCGAUUGCGAAGGCGGCUUACCGGGCUGCAACUGACGUUGAGGCACGAAAGCGUGGGGAGCAAACAGGAUUAGAUACCCGGGUAGUC